AAAAAUUUAAUUUAUAUUUAAAAGUUAAUUUAAAAUUUUAAAUUAAAUAUAUUAAUAUUUGUGAAAAAUUAAUUAAAUAAAUUAAUUAAUAUACUUAAUGAAAAAAAUUAAUUAUUAAAGAGAUUUAUAAUUUGUAAAUAUUUUUAUUUAUAAAUAAAUAAAGUGCCAGCAUUAGCGGUUAAACUUUAUAUAAAAAAUUAAUUUAUUUAUAUAUAAUGAAGUAUAAAAUUUAAUUUUAAUUUAAAAGUUAAAAAUUUUUAAAUAAUUAGUAAAAUAAUAAAAUUUAAAAUAAAAUUUUAAAUUUUUAAUAAAAUUAAAUUAAUUGAAUUUUAAAGAGAUUUGAUUAAAAAUUAGGAUUAGAUACCCUAUUAUUAAAAAUAAAUUUAAUUAUAAAUAAAGUAAAUUUAAAGUAAUUAAAUUUAUAGAUUUGGCGGUAUUUUAUUUUAUUCAAAGGAAUUUGUUAAGUAAUUGAUAAUCCACAAUAAGAUUUACUUAAUUUUUAUAAUUUUUAUAUUUUUGUUUUAAAAAUUUUUUUUAAAAAUAAAUUUAAUAAUUUUAAUAAAAAAUUUAAUUCAAAUCAAUAUGAAGUUUAAUAUAAUUAAGGUUAAUAAUUAAUGAAUUACAAUAAAUUAAUAAUUUAAAAAAUAUAAAUUUUAAUAUUUAUUUUAAAUAGGAUUUGGAAGUAAAUUUUAUUAAAUUUUUAAGGUUGAUUUAAAUUUUAAAGUGUGUACAAAUUGCCCGUCAAUUUAAUUUAUUAUUAAAGAUUAAAUUUAAUUAAAUAAUAAAAAAAUUUUAUUUUAUUUAUAAAAUAAUAAAUUAAAAAUUUAAAUAAAAAUUAAAUAAGUCGUAACAUAGUAAAUGUACUGGAAAGUGUAUUUA
rnacentral:rRNA from 1 species